GACGAACGCUGGCGGCGUGCUUAACACAUGCAAGUCGAACGAUGAACUGAGAGCUUGCUCUUGGGGAUUAGUGGCGAACGGGUGAGUAACACGUGAGUAACCUGCCCUGGACUCUGGGAUAACCCCGAGAAAUCGGAGCUAAUACCGGAUAGGACCUUGCACCGCAUGGUGUGGGGUGGAAAGUUUUUGCGGUUUGGGAUGGACUCGCGGCCUAUCAGCUGGUUGGUGAGGUAAUGGCUCACCAAGGCGUCGACGGGUAGCCGGCCUGAGAGGGUGACCGGCCACACUGGGACUGAGACACGGCCCAGACUCCUACGGGAGGCAGCAGUGGGGAAUAUGGGACAAUGGGCGAAAGCCUGAUCCAGCAAUGCCGCGUGAGUGAUGAAGGCCUUAGGGUUGUAAAGCUCUUUUACCAGGGAAGAAGCCUUCGGGUGACGGUACCUGCAGAAAAAGGACCGGCUAACUACGUGCCAGCAGCCGCAGUAACAC
rnacentral:rRNA from 1 species